CAUCCCGCAGGCCCCGGGAGGGAGGGAGAAGAAAAAUGCUGAGACCUCCCCCUGCAAGGUCCAGGGGCGCCCUUCUCUCCGACCCCACUUUCCACGCAAGAAAUGGCCCCGAAUCCAAGGUUAUAUUCCCUGCAAAAUGAGGAUAAAAUGACCAUGUACUUCCCAGAAAAUGAAGGAAUUGGACCAAGUUGCUAUGGUCUCCUACAGCUCUGCAAUUCUACAUUCAACCAUCUGGGUAUAAAACUACACAGUGACCUGUACCUAGCUCAGUCCUUUGUACCAACUUAGUAGAUGCUUAAUAUAUACUGGAAUUGAAUUGAAAGAAAAGAGAGGAGAAAAAGUAGGCACAAAGAAGCAAGAAAUCUGCAAACAACCCCAAGAAAAUCCAAAAUUCACUGCUGGAUUAAAUGUAAUACCACUUUUCUUUUAAAAAGUUCAAAGCAGCUAUUUAUAGUAUCUAAUUUAUCCUCAGCUCACACAGUGAACACUCAGCAGCUGACGACAGACUGACAAACUUACUUAUGAGGGAGGUGAAGAUUGUCUUGCUAUUCCCAUUUUGCAGAAAAAGAAAAACACUGAUAAUGACGCAAUCUGAUUUGCCUUUGAUCUUUCAAUUAAUGGCACAAAACUUCACAUAUGCUCAAAUUGGUGUGUGUGUGUGUGUGUCUGUGUGUGUAGGGGCGGGGAGAAUUCCGAGUUCAUUCAAACAGAAGUGUUAAAAUAUCUUCACACCUAGAAUGUAGACCCUUUUUGGAAAGCUUUAUUGUCUACUAAUUUGAGGAA